UAAUUAUAAUUUAAAAACCUAUUUACAGAAUUAAAGCAUGGAAGAAAACUUCACAUUAUUUUUUUAACUUAGAAAACCAUAAAGUACUCGCUCAUUCAAAAUUAUUACUCUUCUGUAUAAAUAAGGUGUACAAACAACUGUCCCAGAUUUGUUUAUUUAAUGCAGUCAGCAAAUACAAUUUGUUUCAAGCCAAGGCUCGAACCCAGCGCAUGUACAGGUUACUAGGUUCACCGAGAGAGGGUGAGGGUGUUAUCUAUUUUUAUCGCUCUCGCCCGAUGUAGGGGUCGGAGAGAUUUGUGAUGACUGAGGUCAGUAGGUCGUGGGUUUUUCUCGACGCCCUGUGGUCACCAGCAGAGUGGAGCCAUUUGUUAGAUGUAGCAUGACUGACGUCAGGAUUAUCGACUUCCGACAACUUCAUGGUGAUGACAAGAGCUACAGAGUUCGGUUGCACCGGACUUUGAGAAGUCACGUGGGCAGUUAGACAGGGCUAGGGGGGAGACUGGUGUUAUUCUGCUGAUACUCACUGACUGUAAGAAGAAAACAAAGUUGUAUUGGUGUUUCUGGCACAGAAUAAACAAAGGUAAACAGCAAGUCAAACCAGCAUUUGUAACAGUUGUAUCGUCGCCUCUGUCGUUCCAUCCGUCAGCAGCUGAUGUCAGAGGGUGGUUGGUGUGACUCCAUCGACGGUAUCGCUGUAGUUGUUGUCGCCUGUAGUCGAAUCAUCCUCGUCAUCGCUGUUGUCGUCCAUUGCUCGUAGCAGCGGAUGUGAGACAGUGGUGUAGUAGAGUGGACGUCAAGUGGGGUGACAGUCACACAUCCAGGUCACCCAAGUGCUCUACACUACAGGACUAUGUGUGUGUGUCAGGAGAACUGGGCAGCUGGUCGUCUGAUACUCACCCUGUGUGCAAUGGCUGAGCUGUGAUUUACGUCCCAGACACUUCAGAAGGGAUUUAUUUACCUAGCACAAACUUACAAGUCUACAGAAAUCAAGUGAAUUUUAACAGACGCUGAAUUCAAUGUGUGCAAGUAACUUCUUUUAAAAGUGUUUCUGUUUGCCAGAGACGUUUUUCUUGAAUUGUAUGAGAGAGAGAGAGAGAGAGAGAAUGAGCUAUAUAUAUAAUUGUAUUGCAUCGUUCUCAACAUAGCUACCUUAAUAAUAACACUUUCAGUCUGUACAUGUGACUAUGUGACUAUGUGACUAUACUGUCAGUGUGAACGCCAGUGGAAACUAAAGUACAUGUGUGAGAGUGUGAGCAAAGUGGGUGAGUGGGUGUGUGCACAGGAGGAUCCAGUUGUAAUUGUAAACAUUAGCAAUGUCUUUGCCCUUCGUGCACCAACUUUCUGGAUCCUGGACUUUUUAACAAACAGACAACAGAAAGUUUCUGUUAACGGUCGUCUUUCAGAUGCUGUUGUCACAUGUACAGGUCCCCCUCACGGCUGCUGCUUGUCUCAACUACUGUACAUACUUACACUAACAGUUGUAGAGGCACUAAAGAUAGGAAAUUUCUUGUAAAGUUUGCUGAUGACACGGUCUUGCUGUCUCUUUUGUAUGAUAGUGAACAUGUUCACAGUGGAGCUCUUUGUUCGCUGGUGUGACCAACCCUUUCUUGUCUUGAAUGCCUCAAAGACUAAGGAAAUGAUUUUUGACUUUCGGACGAACAGGCCUGAGGUUCAUCAGUAUUAUCCAUGAUGAUGACAUCGAGGUAGUCGUCUUACAAAUGUCUAGGUACUGUCUUUGAUAACAAGCUUUAAUGUGACAUUAACACUGUCAUGAUUCCCCGUCAGAGCCAACAACGACUGUACCUCCUAUGGAAACUCAGAUUUUUCUCUGUCAGCUCUGUCAUCCUCCCUCGUUUUUAUCAGUCCUUCAUUGAAAUUUUCAUCACUUUUUCUUUUAUCUCUUGGUUCUACGGCCUGUCCCUAGGAAAAAGGAACAGUUUUGUCUCCCUUGUUAAUAUUUGUUUCAAGAUCACCGGAACCACGCAGAGGGAUUUAGCCGCCAUUUGUUACCAGCAAAUCCUCAGGAAGUCAUCAUGCAUCCUCUGUGUUUCUGAUCAUGUGUUGAUAAGUGAGUUUUCGCUCUUGUAGUCUGGUUGUAGAUACGGGAUGUCUGUCUGAAGAACCAAUCGUCACCACAACUUAUUUAUUCCACUUGGUAAAGUCUACUGGCCGUCAUCUUGUACUAGACUGAGGUGGCCUGUGGUCACCCACUGUAUCAUCUUUUGCUAGGAAUGUGUGUGAUUGUGAGAGAGACACACACACUAUUUCAACAUAUACAUUUAUAUCAUGUCUUUAUAUCAUGUGUAUAUAUUGUUGCUAAUACGAACACUUUUGUGAAUGUCCCCCGGGAUCAAUAAAAUUGUAUUGUAUUGUAUUGUAUUGUAUUGUAUUGUAUUGUAUUGUAUUGUAUUGUAUUGUAUUGUAUUGUAUUGUAUUGUAUUGUAUUGUAUAUAGGCAUGGAGUCUGGUAGUGUGACUUUCAUGGAGCAGUAGACCUGUCUUUUUAUCUUCAAGUUUUAGUUUAUUUUCGACGAUCAAAACUUCAUUUCUAAGAUGCUUGCUACUGAAGACUGAAAGGCAGCGAGCUCCCGCCUAAGUCAUGGAAACAGAGGUACAACAGGUGGGAGGUGGGUAAUCUACCCCGGCCUGGAUCCUACCCGGAAGGAAAGAACCAAACCGCGUUGCCUCAAAAUCCAACGGUCGUCAACCUGAAUAACCUGUCGUGUCAGCUUUUUCUGACUGGUCUGAUUAGACCAAGUACAUUAACCGAGGCCAAAGACCCUGUCACAACACAGUUGAUGAGCAGGAAACUGUCUUCGAAAACUUCCGUGUCUGGAUCGAGUGUCUUCCUCGAGUGUCACCAACCAAAGGCUAGAGGACGCUUGCUGUCAAUCUGUCUAAUAAUCUGAGUCUUCUGUGAGCUGGUACUAGAGACACGUGAACUUUCUCAGAAAUAUUUUAAAGAGAACCUCGUAGCAUCAUGAAGAUUGUGAACCUGACCAACAUCUGCAUCGUGGCAUUUCUUUGCUGCAUUACAUUGGGGUGGAGGCCAAACGGCAAUCCAUGGCGUUCAAGAACCUCAGCUAAACCAACAAAAACAAGUAUUAGGAUAUCAACAACAUCAAAAAAGCCAUCGACGAUUAAAGCAGUAGUAACGACUACAAAAAGGACGACAACUACACAAAGAACGACAACCUUAAGGACAACAGCGAUGACACCACUUUCCAUUCGAGUAACAUCUACAAGCGCUACUUCAACUUCUGUUCACUCAACUAAUGUUGUGAGGACUUCUUUACCUAUGAACACGUCCAUUUCCACUGAGAAUUGUGUGUCUGAGGGAGAUGCAAGUGAAACCACAACUGCUUUGAAAGCCGGGACGAUGGCAGGUAUAGGUGUUGCCGUCACAGCUUUUACAGCAGUCGUUGUCUUCAUUCUCCUUAUUAUCAGAAGACGCAGAAAAAGGAAACAUCAUGAGUACAAACAGUCAUCAGCAAACUGCACUGUGAAACCCGCCUACGGUACUACUUCAGUGAAUGUUGACAUCGACAACCAUCAGUUGAAUCCCAAUCAAGAUGACGAGGCUUACUUUGAGCUGGAGUGCCAGGUAGAUGGCGGUGCCGGCACGUGCAGCACUGCUCCCUGUCAAGGUCAGGAUGCUGCACUCACUUCAGCAACAGCAUCAGAUGUAGCAGUUUAUUGCAACGUGCGCCACCCUGAACACGUCGAGAGCCACCCAUGUCCACACCUUCUGACUUCCCUGACGACUGUAGUGGACUACGUCAUCAGGAUGUAGGUGUGGAAGACGUACAGUCGGCGUCGGCUGUCGAUGUUAUUUACGGUAAUAUUCAGAACAACGACUCAGAUGAAUACAACCGACUCCGUAGUGAGGACGGAUGUGGAACUAUCUUGCGUUCAGAUGUAGAAUUCGUUAACAACUACGAUCAUCUUCAAAGUGAGGACCCAGGGGAGUAUAACAGACUUUGUCGGCCUCGUCAGGAUGGAGGUACCCAAUGCACAAUAUUGUCUUUACCAGACACCUAUGAUCACGUGCAGAACUCAUGUAUUACUAACACUGCGCCUGUCUGUACUGAUCAUGACCCGACAAAAUCACAAAGACUUGAUACUCCUCCGUCUUCUAGAACGAAUUAUGAAAACAUAAUGCCUGUAACGGUACAUAAACAAUAUGACUGAUGGAUCAUCACAAUCCAUGCUAUUCCAUUUCAAUAAUUUUUUUCAGACAGUCUGGAUGCUAGCAUCGCAGUCUUUUUCAUGGAAUGUAUUUGUUGUACCUAUCUAGGCGUCUGUUUGCUACACCUGUGUAUAAGCGAGUUCUAAAUAUUUUAAAAAUCUAAUUAAAUCUUUCCUUUUCCUGUUGAAUCAAUUAUAUAAAGUUAUUCUAAUGAAUGGUAGUGUUCAGAGUCAACUUUUCACACCUUUAGCUCCGUUGAAAGGUAGUAUCAGGCUUCUGUGCAUUAUCAUUAGAACUCAAACUAAUAGCAAACAUUCUAACUGCACAAUGUUACAGGUGGUCUGCAAAAUAAAAUUUUCUCCUUCAGCGCAUAAACAUUAGACAAGCAAUUCUAUGGUAAGAAUGAAUAUAUUUCUAGCUUCUCCAACAAUUAAGCCCCUCUACGACUCACUAUCUUAAAGGGUUAAAAAUACUUAGACACAAAAUUAAAUGUUGUUAAUCAUAAUCUACAGACAGUUAGUUGUAAACUGUUACAUGUGUGCGUCUUUUUGUAUAAGUGUGAUACGUAUUUGUUAAUAGACGUGAAGGUAUAAAAAAGGUUAAACGGCGAUGAAAAGUUUUGAUGUAAAUAUAACUUUGUCCAGAAUGUUUAUAAUUCUGUUAUUUUUUAAUAGUAAAGCAUUUGAACUGAAAUGAUUCGGUGUGAGUUUAUGUGGUCGGUUAUUAAAGUGUGUGUUUGUGGUGGGGCAUCCAAUAUUCUAAUUCACAAAGUGGAGCUCAUGGUGCACAGUCGCUGAAAUAUUCCAGUGGCAUGGAAGGGACUAAGAAAUCAAAGACACAGCUACAGAUCUAUCUGUAUGUUCGCCACAAGCUGCUGUCUUGUCAUAGUCUCGUCUAAAUCAAAGUACUCCAUGAUCUACACUGUCACGAUAGUUUGAAUUGUUUACUGCGAAACUGUUAAAAGUAUUAAUUAAGAAAAUACUUGUAACAUUGCUGACUGAGACUAUGUAACUGAUUUCUUCCUGACGGCUACAAUUGUUUAAUGGUCUCGAUACAACUACAGUUACACCGAUAACAUUCGUCGUCAUUAAAUGCUCCCAUCGACCUUCUAACCUCUAAAAAUUCGCUGUUUUCACGUAAAUAUCGACAAAUAUUGUAUUCACCUGUUCCUGUCACCGAACAACCAGUGUGAUCAUGGAGUUCGUGGUGUCAUGCACUGUAAUCCCACCAAGCGUGAAUCUAUUUUCGGGUCUAAGUGCCAGGAUGUGCUCGUGGCCGGAUGUGUCGUAGUGGUCCGAGGAUCAUGGGUAAUGUUUGACAUGUCGGCGACAUUCCCGUUUCAGAUCUCAGGCUCCAAUCCACCAUGAUAAGCGCUUAUAUCCGCUGAUACACGUGUAACAAGAAGCUUAUAUUGUAGCUGACAACGCUCGCAAUCAAGUCAAGGUAUAACAAAUCGUCUUCGAAAAAGUUUACAAACUGAAAGGUUAGACGAAUCUCAUUAUUGCCGUUUAUUUAAAAAUAAUCUACAGGAGACAUCGCUGGAUCUCUUGUACGCUGACAAAAAAGAAAUCUAGGCAAGCAUUGAAGGAGAAAAACAAGAAAGAGAAUACAAUCGAAACAAAAUGAAUAAGUCAACAACAUCAAAACAGCUGUCGACAACAAACAUUGCAGCACCGACAAAAGGUACAAGAGAAGAAAAUACAACAAAGACAACUCUUUCCAGCCAAGUGACAUCAGCUAACUCGUCCUCAGCUUCCCCUCAGCUCGCAAACAAUUUUGGGACAACUUCCCAAGUGAGGCCUUCUGGCUUAAUUGCAAAAUAUGACUCCCUACAAAGAUCAAGAGAUCUUUUAUUAAGUCCUUCAACAGUAGCAAUCAUAGCUUUUGCCAUUACAGCCACCGCCGUCGUCUUCAUCUUUCUCAUCGUCGGAAUUCGCCAGAAACGCAGGCAACAUCACAAUGUGAAUGAAAGGUCAAUGACGAAUUCCUUUCAACAAGUCACCUUCAGAAGUAUUCCUAGACACGUCGCUGGUGACAUCAGUCUACUGGGUUCUAAGCGCGAUGACUCCAUCACCUUUCAUCCCAUUUGCCACCCUGAUGAAGGUGCCGACAAGAGCGAAACAGUUCCAUUGCAAGGUGACGACACUGAUCUCAGCUCAGCAAUGGCAGCAGACCUAGAAGUCUAUGGCAGCCAGCGUGAACUCAAACAAAGGGAAAACCAUCCGACUCCCACGUCUCCUGAAGUCAUUGACGAGGGGGAGCAAAGAAGACGUCGUCAUCCAGGUGCAGGGACCCAAAACGUCGAUGACAUCUAGGAUCAUCUACAAAACGUCGAAAACAUCAGAUGGCUCCAGUACAGAUGGCUGUAAACUUGGCAACGUUAACAUAUUCAUGUAGACCUCUGAUAUUUGUGCUUUUUGACCUCAUUCUGCUCAUAAAGAUGUGUGUAGGCUUAGAUCUUGAAGAAUAUUCACCGACAUUUUUGAAAAUAGUACACUGCGCCUCCUAUUAGAAAAAGGAAGCUAAAUUUGAGAUAUUACGCAAUUACAACUUAUUUCUAGUUCUAGGACAAGUAAAAAAAACUAUUUACCACUUUCAUACUUCCAAACAGUAAUUAAAAGUAUAUGAUUACA